GAUGAACGCUGGCGGUAUGCUUAACACAUGCAAGUCGAACGGACUCUUCGGAGUUAGUGGCGGACGGGUGAGUAACGCGUGAGAAUCUGGCUUUGGGUUCGGGACAACCACUGGAAACGGUGGCUAAUACCGGAUGUGCCGAGAGGUAAAAGAGAAAUUGCCUGAAGAUGAGCUCGCGUCUGAUUAGCUAGUUGGUGAGGUAAAGGCUCACCAAGGCAGCGAUCAGUAGCUGGUCUGAGAGGAUGACCAGCCACACUGGGACUGAGACACGGCCCAGACUCCUUCGGGAGGCAGCAGUGGGGAAUUUUCCGCAAUGGGCGAAAGCCUGCCGGAGCAAUACCGCGUGAGAGAAGAAGGCUCUUGGGUUGUAAACCUCUUUUCUUAGGGAAGAACAAAAUGACGGUACCUAAGGAAUCAGCAUCGGCUAACUCCGUG
rnacentral:rRNA from 1 species